UAAAGCUCCACUUCAUUUUGCUCCAUUUAUGCUUAUUUAUAAAUCAAAAGAUAUCAAUAAAAUUAUAUUAAAGUUUUUGGUUUUUGUGGUUUCUAUUGGGUGUUGAUUUAUUGAUAUAGUUGUGGCGACGGAUAAUAAUAACAUUGUAAAAUGCUAUAAAGGAAUUGACACGGAUGUGAUAUUGACAACAGAAUCAUGUUAAAUUGGUAAAAUAAGUCCUUCAAUCUAUUAUGAAUCAUUGAAACUUGUGUUGGUUGGAUAUAUUGCUGAUUUUUUGCUUUUGUAAAUUUUCUAGGCACAAAGCAUUGUAAUGAAGUACAUCAAAAGCUUCAGAACAAGUACAAUAUUGUAUUCAAAUGGAUGAACCUCUUAUUAAACCUAAAAUAAUGGAUGGCAUGGUAAAGGCUCUUCAGAUAGCAAUCAAUACUAUCUCCAAAAUGCGAUGCCCAGUUCCUGCAAUGAGCAAUGGCGCACUGCCAGUUUCUACUUGGUAUGUCAUUUAGGCCCACUCCAAACCAGUCUACAACUCGUGCUACUCAUGCCUCAAGGCUAUAUUAUAGCAUGUAGAUACCACUUAGGAGUUCAAAGUGGUCAACUGCACAUUGAUUUAUUUUUGUUGAAUUCCAAAUGUUAGUGUUUUGUAUGUACCUGAGUGUUAAGAAAGUCUCAUUCGUGGAUACGAACCAAUAAUAAAGUCCCCAAUGUGAACCAAUCCUUGGUCAUAUAAUUAUUGUCAGAUCAUCCUCAGGGUGCCAUGAGUAUCAAGACUUGGAGUUGUUCGUCUAUCACUGUUUGAGCUAUUUUUAUGGA